CACUAAGAAGCUAAAUUGGAAUAAGCAUUAGCCUUUUAAGCUAAAAAUUGGUGGCUUCCAACCACCCCUAGUGA
rnacentral:tRNA from 1 species